rnacentral:lncRNA from 1 species
GAAUAACAGAAGUGAAUGCAUUUUUUCAUGAUAUUCCAAAUAUAGGACGAGCACCUGUAAAUGUAAUUGUUUAUUUCUGUGUUGCCGCCUCUUGGCCCCGACCAAAGUAGGGAUUGUGAUUUCCAUUACAUUUCGAUUAAUUGCCCAGCCAUAGGAGAACAACGCUACAAUGAAAGCCUUAAACAAAGCAAAAGGAGGUUAUUUAAUGUAUAAACAAUUCCUGUUUCAGUGUUUUAUCGACGUCUCCGAAGCUUUUAAUGUCAUUUUAUUGAGACAAAGUCAGAUCAUGAGGUGGACUUUCCUUUGUCUCAUCAAUGUUUUACUGUUGAAGAAACACAAUGACAAGUGUUUUAUAGAAAAGCAUUCUUUAUCACAGUCCAUACUGUAACGUAAUCCGUACCAUGACAGUGCACAAUACAAAGGCAUGAAAAAAAUUAAACAUUAAAAUAGGUAUUGCAUCUUCCAAAAGCUGAAUCCAUUCAUAAAUACAUCUUUGAGUCCCACCAGAGUCCAGGUCCCGGCUCCGGAACAGCCACCAUGUGUAAACGUACAAUCAACAUAUAAAGAGAAAGGGACAUUCGCUUCGACGGAGCCGCGUCCAGGUGCGUGAUUGGUCAUGUGAUGCAGAGGAGGAGGUCAGGUGAUGCGGAGGUCGCCUGACGAGGAGAUGGUCACGAUGCGCUGCAAAGACAAGAGACGAUUUACAACAGUGAUAUACAACAGAGCACAGGCGGGGGGGGGGGGGGGAAGAGGGUUACAAACCCCCCAAUAUUCAAACCUAACCAAUUUAACCCAAUAUUUUUGUUCAAACAUUAAUUUUUUAAACAUCAAAUUUUAGAUUUCCCAUGUUGAACCCUGUAAUUCUGUGCUCCAUUUGUUGCUACAUGAAAUAAAUGAAAAGUAAAAAAAUACAGUUUGUUUCAGUAAGAUUAUUAUACCAGCAUUUUUAUUAAUGAUUUUUUUACUUGUUCAUGAGGCUAAAAUGCACCAGAAUGCAUUGUUUCCUGGGGGACAACCACCAGACCCCCCGAAAGGGAUUGACUCGCAACCCCCUCGUGGGCGGCAAAACAAGCUAGUUUUCCAUUAGAAAGCAUUGCACUUUCCACACGUUAUAAACAGCUGUAAAGCCUGGUUUCUAAUUUGUUGUAACUUUCUACAGCUGGGUUAGUUACAAUUAAAGAAACCAGGCGGGAUUUUGUAAGAAACAUUUUAGAAAUCUUGUACAGUAAUGAGGUCCGGACUUUGAUUGACAGGCCGUUAGCAUUAGAGCUAAUGGCGCGGGGGCCGAGUCUACAGUGAAGAUCCCGCCCUUAUGCCCUUUUGAGGAACAUGCUCCGUCACAGCAGGGGAGGAGGUGUCUGUAAAUCCGCUAUGAUUUCACCCUCGAACGUAGUUAUUAUGGCAAACAGGGACGAGUGAGGAGACCGACUCUAUUAAUAUUAUUAUUAUUAUUAUGUCUAUGGGACGAGCGCGAAAUUUCACAUGCACAAAUGUCACCUGCCGCGUAACGGGAGGAGGAAGGAUGAUUUUCGCCUUGUCGCGCUGUAGCUCCAUUGGGAAUGAAUCGAAGAGGAGCGACAUCGCCUCCCGUGUGUCGAGCACAUUAUAAGACAAACCUGAAACCAGCCGCGUGCACUUUAGCUGUAAUGUUUGUACCUCGUUGUGGUGAUGGCACUGCUCCUGGUCCUAACUGGGGUUGGGCUUCUCUGCCGACCUCUGCAUCUGGAAGACAAUAAAAUAAAAGCACAUUUACACUUGCAUUCAAAACACUUCACUUCCAGGCAAACAAAAGCAGCCAGCGCCAUCUUUUCACCACCAGAGGGCAGCAGCGCGCUUUGGAUAUGACGACAAAGUAUUGAUGAUUUUCAAAAGCAAAAAAAGCAGCGCUCAUUCCCACCACGUGUGAAUGUAGUCAAUUAAUAAUCUCUUAUUUUUGGGGAAAACUAAAUGGAAAAAUAACGAAUGAAAACAAAACUAUGAAUCUGUAGGCAUCUGUUGUCGACAAAUUAAAAACAACAAGGGACAAGUAAAAACAAGAUCCAGCUCCAGAUGAAACUAUUCAAAAAGCCACAAACCACAAACUCAAGUCUGGGCCUUUAAAGAUCCUGCAGCCGCACGAUGUGAAGAAUUCUAUUGUUAAAGCUUCUGGAUACGUUUAGUCGACUACAUUUGCAGGAUGUUUUUAAAUUAAAAACUCCACAAAAACUAAGCUGGACCUCUUUAUCCCGACUGAGCAGAGUUUUCUCCAGUUUGGCUUUACCCAAAUCUGAAAAGAGCUUUUAAAGAGUGAGGAAAAUGAGACGUGAACGAGGAUGAAAAUGCAACAAAAAAGUGACCCCAAAAAAAGCCACAAAAGAACAAAGAAGUGACAUACUGUAAGUGCAUUAAAAAGCAACAAAAAAUGACA